rnacentral:tRNA from 1 species
GCUGUAGCUCAGUGGUAGGGCAUCUGCCUUGCAUGCAGAAGGUCCCAGGUUCGAGCCCAACCAUCUCCA